UACGUAGGGUGCGAGCGUUGUCCGGAAUUAUUGGGCGUAAAGAGCUCGUAGGCGGUGUGUCACGUCGUUCGUGAAACCUGCAGCUUAACUGUGGCGUGCGGUCGAUACGGGCAUCACUGGAGUUCGGCAGGGGAGACUGGAUCUGGUGUAGCGGUGAAAUGCGCAGAUAUCAGGAGGAACACCGGUGGCGAAAGGCGAACUCUUUGGCCUGUAACUGACACUGAGGCGCGAAAGCGUGGGGAGCAAACAGG
rnacentral:rRNA from 1 species